rnacentral:lncRNA from 1 species
UACAUCAAUUGUGCAUGGUGUAUAUGAAUCUAUCUUUUUCGAAAAAACAAAAGUUCACCAGUUCAACAGUUCAACAGCAAGAUUGGACAAUGGGAGAUAACUCCAUUGAUUUAAGCUCAAAAUUAAAAAUUGCAAGCUGUCUUUACCCUUCAGUGCUGACAGGCACUUUAUUUGUUUGUUUGUAAAGUGUUUGUGUUCAUAUAUAUAUGCUUAUGUGUAAUAGUCUGUUGUAAAUAGAUCAUAUAUAACCAUGCCCAAUUCUUCAGACAUUAAAGUUAAAACAUGAUGUGUGUGUGUGCAUGCAUUACCAUACUUUCCAUGUAGAGUAUUUCCAUGAAGAAGAAAAAACGCACCAUCAAUUGUGCAUGGUUUAUAUGAAUCUAUCUUUUUUAAACUAAAGUUCACACAAGUUCAACAACAAUACUGGACAAUGGGAGAUAACUCCAAUAAUUUUGGCCCAAAUUAAAAAUUGAAAGCAGUCUUUUCCCUUCAGUGCUGACAGGCACUUUGUUUGUUUGUAAAGUGUUUGUGUUCAUAUAUGUAUUCUUAUGUUUUAUAGUCCAUUAUAAAUAGAUCAUAUAUAACCAUGCUCAAUUCUUCAGACAUUAAAGUUAAAACAUGAUGUGUGUGUGUGCAUGUAUAACCAUACUUUCCAUGUUAAUUAUUUUUUUCUUCAAAAAAUUACAUCAAUUGUGCAUGGUGUAUAUGAAUCUGUCUUUUCGAAAAAACAAAAGUUCACAAGUUCAACAGCAAGAUUGGACAAUGGGAGAUAACUCCAUUGAUUUAAGCUCAAAAUUAAAAAUUGCAAGCUGUCUUUACCCUUCAGUGCUGACAGGCACUUUAUUUGUUUGUUUGUAAAGUGUUUGUGUUCAUAUAUAUAUGCUAAUGUGUAAUAGUCUGUUGUAAAUAGAUCAUAUAUAACCAUGCCCAAUUCUUCAGACAUUAAAGUUAAAACAUGAUGUGUGUGUGUGCAUGCAUUACCAUACUUUCCAUGUAGAUUAUUUUCAUGAAGAAAAAAAAACGCACCAUAAAUUGUGCAUGGUUUAUAUGAAUCUAUCUUUUUUAAACAAAAGUUCACAAGUUCAACAACAAUACUGGACAAUGGGAGAUAACUCCAAUAAUUUUGGCCCAAAUUAAAAAUUGAAAGCAGUCUUUUCCCUCCAGUGCUGACAGGCACUUUGUUUGUUUGUAAAGUGUUUGUGUUCAUAUAUGUAUGCUUAUGUGUGAUAGUCUGUUGUAAAUAGAUCCUAUAUACCAUGCUCAAUUCUUCAGACAUUAAAGUUAAAACAUGAUGUGUGUGGGUGCAUGUAUUACCAUACUUUCCAUGUAGAUUAUUUUCAUAAAAAGUUUUUUCUCCAAAAAAUUACAUAAAUUGUGCAUGGUGUAUAUGAAUCUAUCUUUUCUAAAACAAAAGUUCACCAGUUCAACAACAAUAUUGGACAAUGGGAGAUAACUCCAUAUUAAUAAUUGACAUUCAAAUUGAAAAUGAAAGAAUUAAGUUGUUACCCUUCACUGCUGACAGGCACUUUGUUUGUUUGUUUGUAAAGUGUUUGUGUUCAUAUAUAUAUGAUUAUGUUUUAUAGUCCAUUGUGAACAGAUCAUAUAUAUCCAUGCCCAAAUUCUUCAGAUAUUAAAGUUAAAACAUGAUGUGUGUGAGUGCAUGUAUAACCAUACUUUCCAUGUUAACUAUUUUUAUUAAAAACAAAUAACAUAAAUUGUGCAUGGCAUAUAUGAAUCAGUCUUCCAAAAAGAAAAGUUCAAGUUCAACAACAUUUUUCGACAAUGGGAGAUAACUCAAAUAAUUUUUGCUAAUGUUGAAAAAAAGAAAGCAGUCUUUUCCCUUCAGUGCUGAUAAUAUUUUGUUAUUGUUUGUAAAGUGUUUGUGUACUGUACAUUAGUAAUUUUAAGAUAGUUUACAAAAUUAUAUUUAU